rnacentral:rRNA from 1 species
AGGGCAUGUGGUGGAUGCCUAGGCACCAAGAGGCGAAGAAGGACGCGUAUACCGGCGAAACGUCACGGCGAGCAGGUAAAAUGUAUAGACCCGUGAAUCUCCGAAUGGGGCAACCCGUCAGAGGUAAUGCUCUGACAUACUAUUUUUAAUAGUAGGCAAACGUAGGGAAUUGAAACAUCUAAGUACCUACAGGAGAAGAAAUCGAAGAGAUUCCCUUAGUAGCGGCGAGCGAAAUGGGAAUAGCCCAAACCUGACUAUAUAUAGUUGGGGGUAGUAGGACUACAUAUAUACUUUAUAUCACAAUAGCAGAAGUAAUUGGGAAAUUACACCGUAGAAGGUGAUAGUCCUGUAAGCGAAAUUGUGUAUAUCAGGUAGUAGUAUCCUGAGUAGUGCGGAGCAAGUGGAAUUCUGCAUGAAUCAGCCCAGACCACUGGGUAAGGCUAAAUACUCCUUGGUGACCGAUAGUGAACAAGUACCGUGAGGGAAAGGUGAAAAGAACCCUUAAGAAGGGAGUGAAAUAGAACCUGAACCCACAUGCUUACAAACGGAGGUAGCAACGAAAGUUGUGUCCUCGUGCCUUUUGUUUAAUGAGCCAACGAGUUGCGCGUAAUAUGCGAGAUUAAGAUUGUAAAUAAUUGUAGUCGUAGCGAAAGCGAGUUUGAAGUAAGCGAGAGUAUAUUGCGGCAUACGCGAAACCCGGUGAUCUAUCCAUGUGCAGGAUGAAGCGUAGGUAACACUCCGUGGAGGUCCGAACCACUAUACGUUGAAAAGUAUUUGGAUGACGUGUGGAUAGGGGUGAAAGGCCAAUCAAACUGGGUUAUAGCUCGUACUCCCCGAAAUGCAUUUAGGUGCAGCCUUAUUAAAGUGUCCUUGAGGUAGGGCUCUGAUAGGGCAAGGGCCACAUAGUGGUACCGACCCCUGAUAAACUUCGAAUACGAGGUACAUGAUUAAUAGGAGUGAGGCGUUGGGAGAUAAGUUUCAACGCCGAGAGGGAAAGAACCCGGACCAUCAGCUAAGGUCCCGAAGUAAAUACUAACAGAUAAAGGAUGUUUUUUUGCAUAGACAGCCAGGAUGUUGGCUUAGAAGCAGCCAUUCUUUUAAAGAGUGCGUAAUAGCUCACUGGUCGAGCGAAAGAGCGCCGACAAUACACGGGACUAAGUAUUUCACCGAAGCUAUGGAUUUAUGGUAUUUUUUAUCAUAAGUGGUAGGGGAGCAUUGUAUUUGCAAUGAAGGUUUGUCGUGAGGCAUUCUGGAGCGAAUAGAAGAGCAAAUGUUGGCAUAAGUAACGAUAACGGGGGUGAGAAUCCCCCGCGCCGAAAAUCUAAGGUUUCCUUGAGCUCUGUUCGUCAACUCAGGGUUAGUCGGCUCCUAAGGCGAGGCCGAGAGGCGUAGUCGAUGGGUAAUAUGGCAUUUUUAUAAUAAUCCAUAACCAUCUAAAGAUUUAAGCAUAAUGACGCAGGAGGAUUUGUUUAUAUAGGUUAAUGGCUAUCCUAUAUAAGCUAUUCACACUGCCAAGAAAAGUUGUGCGGUAUAUUUUUAGAUGACCGUACCGCAAACCGACACAGGUAGAAGGGUUGAGUAUACUCAGGCGCGCGAGUGAAUCGUUGUUAAGGAACUCGGCAAAUUAACUCCGUAACUUCGGGAGAAGGAGUGCCUGCAUUGUCAGGCCGCAGAGAAAUGGUUCUGGCGACUGUUUAACAAAAACACAGCUCACUGCAAACUCGUCAAGAGGAAGUAUAGUGAGUGACGCCUGCCCGGUGCUGGAAGGUUAAAAGGAGAUGUCAUCUUCGGAGAAGCAUUGAAUUGAAGCCCCAGUAAACGGCGGCCGUAACUAUAACGGUCCUAAGGUAGCGAAAUUCCUUGUCGGGUAAGUUCCGACCUGCACGAAUGGCGUAACGAUCAGAGCACUGUCUCAACAACGAGCUCGGUGAACUUGUGGUACCAGUGAAGACGCUGGUUUCCCGCACUUGGACGGGAAGACCCCAUGCACCUUUACUAUACCCUAAUAUUGUGUUCGGUUUUAUCAUGCGUAGGAUAGGUGGGAGGCUUAGAAGCGUAGGUUGCGGCCUAUGUGGAGCCAUUGGUGAAAUACCACCCUUGAUAUAAUUGAAUUCUAACUUAGAGAUUUGUCGUCUUGAGGACAUUGUUAGGUGGGUAGUUUGACUGGGGCGGUCGCCUCCUAAAGAGUAACGGAGGCUUACAAAGGUUACUUCAACACGGUCGGUAAUCGUGUUAAGAGUGUAAAGGUAUAAGGUAGCUUUACUGCGAGACCAACAAGUCGAGCAGUUGCGAAAGCAGGUCUUAGUGAUCCGGCGGCACUGAGUGGAAGGGCCGUCGCUCAAAGGAUAAAAGGUACGCUGGGGAUAACAGGCUGAUCUUGCCCAAGAGUUCACAUCGACGGCAAGGUUUGGCACCUCGAUGUCGGCUCAUCGCAUCCUGGGGCUG